UACGUAGGGUGCAAGCGUUGUCCGGAAUUAUUGGGCGUAAAGAGCUCGUAGGCGGUUUGUCACGUCUGCUGUGAAAACUGGAGGCUCAACCUCCAGCCUGCAGUGGGUACGGGCAGACUAGAGUGCGGUAGGGGAGAUUGGAAUUCCUGGUGUAGCGGUGGAAUGCGCAGAUAUCAGGAGGAACACCGAUGGCGAAGGCAGAUCUCUGGGCCGUAACUGACGCUGAGGAGCGAAAGCAUGGGGAGCGAACAGG
rnacentral:rRNA from 1 species